CUGGCAUUGCUGCUCUGAAAACUCCACAGCCCUGAGCUGUGGCAAAGCCAGCAGGAAGGGCAGAUGCACAACCUGAUGCUGGAUCAGCACUAGGAAACUGUGAAGCCUUCUCACCGUAAAGGUUUCCUGGCAGAGAUUCUGUGUGGAGAAACAGAACAACGAGCUGAACCUCAGAUCAAAGAGCAAGCGACUCCUGCCAGAGGCUGGACAACGUCCUGAGCAACCCACUCUGCUCAACCCUGCUUUGAGCAGUAGAAGAUCUCCAGAGGUCCCUUCUGGCCACUGUUGUGCGAGUCUGUAAAAUGACAUCUACCAGUGUGUGUGUGUCAAACUGAGUUUUCUUGGCACGGCAGAACAUCUGCCAGGAGCAGGGAAAGAAUUUAGGCCCCUCUAGAGAAGUCAGUUGCUCGUAACAAACAUCCUGAUAUAUAGAGGAAAUGCCUGCAGGGAGGGUGGGCUGUGCAGACCUCCUGCUCCCCAGAGCUUGUUCUCCCUGUGGCUGUUCCCUGCUGCUGGAGCCCGUACCCUGCUGCAGGCCAGGAGUGUGGCUGCUCCCUCUGCCCUGAUUCCUGCCUGGCAAGGAGCAGUUUGCCCCCUCAGGCUUUAGCAGAAGCAGCAGCACUUUGCCCACUGAUUGCUCCUGGAAAGUCACAGUUAAUUGGAAGGAGCAUUCCAGACCUAUCCCUCCCUCCAGGCAUAGCAAGAAAUAUCUCAAAGCCCGGGCCACCAGCUCUGUCAAACACAACUGAGCACAGGGGGAAGAAGAAAUGGAAUUAAAUUAUUUAUUCCCUUCUGCAGGAAGCAUUAUUCCUAGUGAUCUUUAUAUUUCUGCUGCUUUGUCCUGCUAAUUAAGUGUUGAUGGAGACUUCCCACUGUUUUCUCCUGGAGUCUGUUCCAUCGUCACACAGACCUUAAGACAAUUUUUCCUCGAAUAUCUUUUCCUCGGUGUCAUUACAUUACUCUGGGUUGCACACUCACUGAUGCCCUUCAGUGGUCUCCAGGUGAUUAUGUGUCUCACAGAAGUGUUGGGUUAUCUUGAUGUGAUGCCUGUAGAUGGGGAAGGGGGCAAAGGAAUGUGCUGUUGAUGCCCCAGGCAGAGUUUUACCCUCCAUAUCCAGUGCAGUCGCCCAAUGCAUCAUUUAACAUUUUUUUUUUCAUUUAUGUGGAAACAUAAAAGGUGUGUAACCUCAUGACAGCUGCCUGCACAUAAAUGAAUUUCAUCCCCAGCAAAUUUCUAGAGGCUGGAAUUGAGCCCAAGAGUCCUUGUAUUCAAUCUUAGACUGCACUACCUUCUAGUGGCAUUUCACAAUAUUUCCUCCCUUUUAACUUUUGAGCACUUGCUGACAGUGAUCAGGAGACUCUGAGGCACAGCUAAACUAAAUAAAGGCAGCUUUUCAGUUUCCAAUAAAUUACAAAGCUUUUAUUUUCUCAGGAGCAGUAAAAAUAACGUGCCAAAAAUCUCGUUCUACCUCGUGGACUGUGUUCCCAUCAACCUGUAACUGAAAUUACAAAAAAAUGUGUUUGCUGUCUUUUAAUGCCAGUCUACAUAUCACCCAAAAUCUGAUUGACAUAAUUGAAUUCAUGUUGAUAGUUAGACUUAAUAAUAGAUGGGCAUGCUGAAAUGUAGGCAGCCAUUCUCCAAGUUAGAAGUGCUGAAGUGUUUAAGAGACCAUGAAGUGAUGUUGGAAGAGAUACUUGCUUGUUAGUGGUUUCAUUUCACUUCGUGCUCUUUUCCUGCAAGCCAGAUAUAACAAUAAAUUAUAAACCAAAUUGGUUUAGAUUAAAUCAUAAUGGGAGUAUUUCAGGCUGUGUACAGAGUGGACAACAGUGCAGGCAGACUGUAAUUAGCUGCAAAUGUGCUUGGAAAGGGUUGGAUUCUGGCCCAGCUUUUAAGUUUGUGCACGUAAACUAACAGGUAGCUCAGGACUGAGCUGAUGCACCACUUCCAGCUGAGCACAGGCUCUCACUGAACGUGACUUGCUGACCAAUCUUUUGAGCAUUAAACUCUUUUUUGACUCAGAAGAUGCAAGAGGCACAAGAACAAGUCCAACAGGGUGGUUUUUUCUACAUCCGUGGUGCAGCCUUCGUGUGACAGUGUAACCCGAUUUUUGGACAGCAAGAACCGAGCUUACAAUCUGAGUGGAGAGAAACCACUGAUCCUUCUGUGGAAGAGACACAUAAAAGCUCAGGGAGUUCUUUGGCCACGGGCUGGCAAAAAGGGGAGGGAGGAACGGGUUGUGCUAUGCUGGAUUAGUCAAGGUUAUACCUAAUAGCAAUGACAAAGGUGCAAUGGCACAAUCUGUGCUUUAUGCCCAUGAGCAAAAGUCUGUAAAUUCUGUCUGUUCCAACUCUGGAUAGUAAUAUUACCAGCUUUUGAAUUUAUAAGUGCCUCUGCUUUAAUUUUCAUGUGUUCUGACAGACACCUGUUAGAAGUUUGGCAGCAUUUUGAUCUACAAUGCAGUCAGGUGGACAAGGAAGUGAGAUCUGUAAUCUAGCUGGUGUGCCUCUGUAUAUUAUAUAAUUAUAUAUAACAUAUUAGAUACGUAUUAUACAUAUAUAUUAAAAAUAUAUAUAUAUAUAAGAGCUAUGGAAUCAGAGUGCACAACUUGAUAAACAAGGGAAAAACCUGCAACAAAACUGGGAGCAAUAUGUUUCUCUUCCUUGUUCUGGUUUUCCAUCAGGCUACAAUGCUGAAUCCUUGGUACAUGAAUAAUAAGUCAUGGAAGCUUAUUUACUGCCAUCGGAUUUGUGAGAAAAUGUCAUCAUCUCCAAGUGAGACUUGCUAUAUUGUUUUCUUUCUUUGAUUCCUGCCUAAGCUGUAAAAUAUUACAAACCUGUUCAGACAAAUACUGCAGGACUGCAAAACUUAAUUGUUGCCUCCCUUGAAAUUUGGUCUUAUCCUUCAGAGAGUUAUUGCCUGCAUAGGCCUUACCUUAUUACUUUCCAAAUUAUACACAAUUGAAUGAUGUUUAAAAGAUAAGAUUAACAGUAUCUGUGACAUGUCAUAGUUUCACUUUAGAAGAAACCACAGUGGAAAAUGUUAGACCCGCCUCAAUUUUUGUUAAAAAUAUUUGUGAAUUGAUGAUCUAAUAAAGUAAUCAGAUAAC